CUGCAGAGAAUACAGAUGGUGAAUGUCCAAUUUGAACACGUUAAUCCAGCCUAAGUCAGUUUUUUUUCUUUCACCAAAGCUUCAAUAUGCAUCUGAUCUCAGGAUAUUGGAUUUUUCUUUGAGGCAAAGUGGGAAGUGAGCAUGAGAUUCUUAAGCAUGCUUCUGUGGGACUCUUUUAAAUACUGAUUGCAAGAUCUGUAGAGCAGGGACUGUGUCCAGCUCUGUGCGCACACCAGAGCCUAGUGUAAUAGUGCCUGGAUUCUGAUCAGGGUCUCUGGACCUUAUAUUAUAGUGAGUAUUAAUUAAUUAAUUAAUAUUAAUAAAAACUCAUUCCAACCUAAAAUACCCCAGCCCCUUUUAAACAGAUAUCUUUUACUCCAAUUACUUUUAAUGUAAGGUUAAUGCAAUUUCUUCUUGUAUUCUGUUUAUUAGCCCCUGAUUCAACCCUGGGAAUAAUCUCACAUUCUCUCACUUUCCCACUUUACACAUUCCAGUAUGUCCUGUGUUCUUAACUUUGAUCAGAGUACAGCUUUGCUAUUCUCCAGUUUAAUUUUUCAAGCAGUCUCAUUCAUUUCAAUUAAAGUUAUGAGGAUCAGGCAAAUGCUGUACUUUUUAGGACUGAACCAAUGUCACCCAACUGGCAACUUUUUAAAGCAUAACUGAGACUUGCAUGUGGUAUGCGAAAAUGAUAGAUGAGAACAGAAUUAGACCUUUGUAUUUAGUCUGAAUGGGCCCAGUCCAAUUCUAAUUUAAGUUGAUGGAAAGAUUUCAGUGAGAUUUGGAUCCAGUCCUGACAAAGGGGACAACUGGAAAAAAAAGUGGCUUAUUGUUAUAGGUUACAUAAACAGGACUGGUUAAGUUUCUCCCUUUUCAUUAUAAAGUUCCUCUAUGCCCCUUCCUUGUUAAUGAUUUUAACCUUUUGUGUAUUCAUUGCAGCUUAGGCAGCUUCAUGAUUAUUUCAUUUUUCCAGUUUACUUAAUUUUUCUUUGCAUUUCUGUCCAUUAGGGUUUUUAAACAGUAGAACCUUAAAGUUACAAACAUGAGUUAAGAACUGACCUGUCAACCACACACCUCAUUUGGAACCAGAAGUACGCAAUCAGGCAGCAACAGAGACCCCCCCCCCCCAAAAAAAAAAAAAAAAAAAAGCCAAUACAGCACAGUAUUGCGUUAAACGUAAACUAC